UUCGUUUCCAAACAAGACUGCGUAGACCGAGCUUUAUGACCUGGCGCCGAGUCUUGCUGGAAGGAC
rnacentral:pre_miRNA from 1 species